GCGCGAGUGGCGGAAUUGGUAGACGCCCCAGAUUUAGGUUCUGGUGCCUUCGGGCGUGAGGGUUCGAGUCCCUUCUUGCGCAC
rnacentral:tRNA from 1 species